CACCGCGGCCGCGCGCGCCUGGCGCUGGCUGCUCCCACUCUGCGCUAGGCUUUUUAGCGCACCCGCGCAGGAGAGCAGCGGAGGACACAGAAGCCGGGCUGGGGGCACCUGCCGCGACCUCCCCAUUCUGGCCGAGCACUCAGCACCUGCGGCCUGGGUGCUGUUUCUCCACGGUGAUCAGUUGCUGGUGGCCGCCGAAUUUGAUUGCCCCCUCUCCGGGACCCACGCGUGUGGGAGACCAGCGUGGGAUACUGUCCAGGGCCGGCCGGGAACAGCGCGCCCAGGCUGAGGGAGUGUCCUGGCUGAAGCUUGGAACCUCGCGAUAGGUGCAGGCGAGCCCGCAGUCAGGAGAGGGCCUGGGGCUCCACACCACAUCGGUUUGUCACUGCAGUGCCCUGCCUCAUCAAGGUGUCAUGGAGAGGAGCUCGCCUUCCCUCGGAAAGCAAGGCUCUGGUUAGACUUGCAUCUUGCGGGAUUGGCCCAAGUGAGCACUGUGGUAGGGUGAAGAACCCUUCCACUCUGUUUCAUUCCAGGAUCUAAGCUGACCAUGACCAUGACCUCACGCCGGAGGGUCCAGGUGGCUCAUGGCUUGUUACCACAUUUUCUAUACAUCCUGCUUCCUUGGUGGCUGGUUGGUGUCUCCCCUGACUCUACCCUUCUUCCUCCCAUCAUUCUCUUAGUUUGGUUGCCCCACCUAUAAUUCCUGGCUGGCUACCAGCCAAUUAGCUUUUAAUUAAACCAAUCCCAGUGACAGACCUUCACACAAUGUAAAGGAAUAUUCCAUAGCAAGCUGCUACAGACGCAAGCAGUUUAACAGAAGCUAAGAUAAGAAGUUAGCUGGAGGGGGUUCUGCACAAACUGGCAGUUUACCAGAAGCUGGGAUAAGUUAGCUGGCACAUCCUGACCUCAGGUUCCUCCAAUAAAGUUGAGUAAUGUUCCAUGGAA